GACGAACGCUGGCGGCGUGCUUAACACAUGCAAGUCGAACGGAAAGGCCCUGCUUUUGUGGGGUGCUCGAGUGGCGAACGGGUGAGUAACACGUGAGUAACCUGCCCUUGACUUUGGGAUAACUUCAGGAAACUGGGGCUAAUACCGGAUAGGAGCUCCUGCUGCAUGGUGGGGGUUGGAAAGUUUCGGCGGUUGGGGAUGGACUCGCGGCUUAUCAGCUUGUUGGUGGGGUAGUGGCUUACCAAGGCUUUGACGGGUAGCCGGCCUGAGAGGGUGACCGGCCACAUUGGGACUGAGAUACGGCCCAGAGUCCUACGGGAGGCAGCAGUGGGGAAUAUUGCACAAUGGGCGGAAGCCUGAUGCAGCAACGCCGCGUGCGGGAUGACGGCCUUCGGGGUGUAAACCGCUUUCGCCUGUGACGAAGCGUGAGUGACGGUAAUGGGUAAAGAAGCACCGGCUAACUACGUG
rnacentral:rRNA from 1 species